rnacentral:rRNA from 1 species
UACGAAGGGGACUAGCGUUGUUCGGAAUCACUGGGCGUAAAGCGCACGUAGGCGGAUAUGUCAGUCAGGGGUGAAAUCCCGGGGCUCAACCUCGGAACUGCCUUUGAUACAGCAUGUCUUGAGUCCGAUAGAGGUGGGUGGAAUUCCUAAUGUAGAGGUGAAAUUCGUAGAUAUUAGGAAGAACACCGGUGGCGAAGGCGGCCCACUGGAUCGGUACUGACGCUGAGGUGCGAAAGCGUGGGGAGCAAACAGG